UACUUCACAAAGCUCCGCCAUAUUCCGCCAACCGUGCAAGGUAGUAGAGAACCAUUGUUACUCAUUGAAGACACAGACACAGCAUUGAGUAAGCUCUGUCCCAAGACCACAAAGGAGAGAAAGGUAGAGGUGGCAUUCUUUAGGGAAGCUUCUUCAGGGCAUGGUCAGCACCAAAUGGAAGGGGAGACUCCAAAGAGUGGGUAAUUAACUGGUUGAAUAAAACUGAGGGCAUGACACAGGGCAUGGGUGCCCACCAACUGGAUGCAGCUCGAAGAAUCAGAAGUAACUUUGCUGAUGCAAGAAGUUGGCACCAUAAAGCCCCGAGAGCACGGCAGAGCCAGUCCCCACGUGCGACUUGAGCAGGGCUACAAAUGGCGGCAAGUUGGGAGUGAGGAGACGGAGCCCGCAUUUUGCAAGUUAGUCCUGGGUUAACUCACGCAUGCGAAGACAAGAUAGAAAAGAUGCUUUGAGGAUGACAUCUUAUUUUUGAGAUGCUAUAAUAGAUUUUC